rnacentral:rRNA from 1 species
UACAUGGGGUGCAAACGUUGCUCGGAAUCAUUGGGCGUAAAGAGCGUGUAGGCGGCUCGGUAAGUCCGCUGUAAAAGUCCAGGGCUCAACCCUGGAAAGCCGGUGGAAACUGUCGAGCUAGAGUCCGGAAGAGGCGAGUGGAAUUCCUGGUGUAGCGGUGAAAUGCGCAGAUAUCAGGAGGAACACCAAUGGCGAAGGCAGCUCGCUGGGACGGUACUGACGCUGAGACGCGAAAGCGUGGGGAGCAAACAGG